rnacentral:ncRNA from 15 species
GGUCUCGUGGCCCAAUGGUUAAGGCGCUUGACUACGAAUCAAGAGAUUCCAGGUUCGACUCUUGGCGGGAUCG